ACGGAAGGCAGCAGUGAGGAAUAUUGGUCAAUGGGCGGAAGCCUGAACCAGCCAAGUCGCGUGAAGGAAGACGGUAUUAUGUAUUGUAAACUUCUUUAGACGCAGAGAAAUAAGGUGCUCGCGAGCACUGAUGCUAGUAUGCGUAGAAUAAGGAUCGGCUAACUCCGUGCCAGCAGCCGCGGUAAUACGGAGGAUCCGAGCGUUAUCCGGAUUUAUUGGGUUUAAAGGGUGCGCAGGCGGCGCUUUAAGUCAGUGGUAAAAUCGGGAGGCUCAACCUCAUCCCGCCAUUGAUACUGGAGCGCUUGAUUGCGGUUGAGGUAGGCGGAAUUCGUCGUGUAGCGGUGAAAUGCAUAGAUAUGACGAAGAACCCCGAUUGCGUAGGCAGCUUACCAAGCCGUAAAUGACGCUCAUGCACGAAAGUGCGGGGAUCGAACAGGAUUAGAUACCCUGGUA
rnacentral:rRNA from 1 species